GACGAACGCUGGCGGCGUGCUUAACACAUGCAAGUCGAGGGGGCCCGCAAGGGUCACCGGCGAACGGGUGCGUAACACGUGAGCAACCUGCCGCAGAGUGGGGGAUAGCCGGCCCAACGGCCGGGUAAUACCGCAUACGAUCCUGUGGGGGCGUCCCCGGGGGAUGAAAGCUUUAUCGCUCCGUGAGGGGCGCGCGGCCGAUCAGCUAGUUGGUGCGGUUACGGCGCACCAAGGCGACGACGGGUGGCUGGUCUGAGAGGAGUGGCCAGCCACAUUGGGACUGCGACACGGCCCAGACGCCUACGGGAGGCAGCAGUGGGGAAUCUUGCGCAAUGGGCGAAAGCCUGACGCAGCGACGCCGCGUGGGGGAGGAAGGUUUUCGGAUCGUAAACCCCUGUUGCCCGGGACGAAUCCCUGGUUUUGACCAGGUUGACGGUACCGGGUGAGGAAGCACCGGCUAACUCCGUGCCAGCAGCCGCCGUAAGAC
rnacentral:rRNA from 1 species